rnacentral:rRNA from 1 species
UACGAAGGGGGCUAGCGUUGCUCGGAAUCACUGGGCGUAAAGCGCACGUAGGCGGAUCUUUAAGUCAGGGGUGAAAUCCUGGAGCUCAACUCCAGAACUGCCUCUGAUACUGGGGAUCUUGAGUCCGGAAGAGGUAAGUGGAACUGCGAGUGUAGAGGUGAAAUUCGUAGAUAUUCGCAAGCACACCCGUGGCGAAGGCGGCUCUCUGGGACGGUACUGACGCUGAGACGCGAAAGCGUGGGGAGCGAACGAGG